GAUGAACGCUGGCGGCGUGCCUAAUACAUGCAAGUCGAGCGAACAGACGAGGAGCUUGUUCCUCUGACGUUAGCGGCGGACGGGUGAGUAACACGUGGAUAACCUACCUAUAAGACUGGGAUAACUUCGGGAAACCGGAGCUAAUACCGGAUAAUAUAUUGAACCGCAUGGUUCAAUAGUGAAAGACGGUUUUGCUGUCACUUAUAGAUGGAUCCGCGCCGCAUUAGCUAGUUGGUAAGGUAACGGCUUACCAAGGCGACGAUGCGUAGCCGACCUGAGAGGGUGAUCGGCCACACUGGAACUGAGACACGGUCCAGACUCCUACGGGAGGCAGCAGUAGGGAAUCUUCCGCAAUGGGCGAAAGCCUGACGGAGCAACGCCGCGUGAGUGAUGAAGGUCUUCGGAUCGUAAAACUCUGUUAUUAGGGAAGAACAAAUGUGUAAGUAACUAUGCACGUCUUGACGGUACCUAAUCAGGAAGCCACGGCUAACUACGUG
rnacentral:rRNA from 1 species